GCUCCGCCCGGGCCGGGCGUGCCGGGCUGAGGGGCUCCCGGCCGCCCGUCCGGCGGCCCGCCCUGACACAGGCCGGGGAGUGCCGAGACAGCGAGGACUGGUCCCGCCUGGCACAGAGAACACCGCUCCGCAGCAGGAGAGCUGCCAGGAGGGCAGCACCGGUUCUAGGCUGGCUGCGGUAAUGAGGAGGAGCGAGACUGUAAUAGCACCGUGCUGGUUGCUCUCAAUGGGCGCCGUCAGAUCGCCUCCCACAUGAUCUCGUAUGCGCCACACGCGCAGGAACGCAUGAAGAACCAUUUUACAAUGAUUGAUGCAGAUAUAAAUGGACUUCUUCUGACUAAAGACUGGCCAACUCUAAUAUUAAGAAGUGUGUCAAGUUUGAGAAGUUCAUAUCUUAAAAGAGGGAAAAAGAAAUGCAAGCAGGAGUGACUCGAGAAGAAAAAUAGCAGUGCAGCACAGUGAAGGCUGUAGAUCCAUGAGGUAUCCCAUUGCCAAUCUCACCUCAUGCCACGUGCACUAAGAUAAAGAGCUGUGGUCUAAGAAAA